GGGAGCAACAGCCCUAGUGGCGGGGCCAGCUCUGGAGCCCUGGAGUCAGCCCCCGCAGGAACUCCGGAGCUCUCCGUCUGCAGGGCCUGGAGGCUCCGGGGCGGG
rnacentral:pre_miRNA from 1 species